rnacentral:misc_RNA from 1 species
GAUGAAGAACGUAGCGAAAUGCGAUACGUAAUGUGAAUUGCAGAAUUCAGUGAAUCAUCGAAUCUUUGAACGCAUAUUGCGCUCUCUGGUAUUCCGGAGAGCAUGCUUGUUUGAGUAUCAGUAAACACCUCAACUUCCAUAUCUUUUUUGAAAUGGGAGUUGGACUUGAGUGAUCCCAACGCUUUUCCUCACCGAAAAGUGGCGGGUUACUUGAAAUGCAGGUGCAGCUGGACUUUUCUCUGAGCUAUAAGCAUAUCUAUUUAGUCUGCCUAAAAAACAGAUUAUUACCUUUGCUGCAGCUAACAUAAAGGAGAUUAGUUCUUGUGCUGACUGAUGCAGGAUUCACAAAGGCAGGCUUCGGCCGACUUUGUAAACUCGAUCUCAAAUCAAGUAAGACUACCCGCUGAACUUAAGCAUAUCAAUAAGCGGAGGA